GCCGGUCCCGAGUCGUGGUGCGGGCUCAGCGGCGCUUGCGGCGACGCUUGCGGUUGGCGCAGCCGGCCGGGCGGUCCGGUGCGGCCGACCGGUGC
rnacentral:tRNA from 1 species